GGUUGAUCCUGCCGGACCCUACUGCUAUCUGGAUGGGACUAAGACAUGCUAGUUGAACGUUCCAAGCCAAAACGGAACGUAGCGCACAGCUCAGUAACACGUGGCUAACCUGCCUUUUGGACGAGAACACCCCCGGGAAACUGGGGCUAAUUCUCGAUAAGCGAAGAAGUCUGGAAUGACUCUCCACUGAAAAGACGUUUUGGUUACGCUCCAAAACGCCGCCAAAAGAUGGGGCUACGGCCGAUCAGGCUGUUGGUGAGGUAACGGCUCACCAAACCUAUAACCGGUUCGGGCCGCGACAGCGGGAGCCCGGAGACGGGAACUGAGACAAGAUCCCAAGCCCUACGGGGCGCAGCAGUCGCGAAAACUCCGCAAUAAGCGAAAGCUUGACGGGGCUAUCCUAGGUGCCAUUUGCUAAAGAUGGCUUUUCCCCAGUGUAGAUAGCUGGGGGAAUAAGAAGAGGGCAAGUCGGAUGUCAGCCGCCGCGGUAAUAUCCGCUCUUCGAGUGGUGGGGACAAUUAUUGGGCUUAAAGCGUUCGUAGCUGGCUUUGCAAGUCUCCUGUUAAAUUCAACGAUUCAAUCGCUGAGCCGCAGGAGAUACUGCUAAGCUUUGAGGACGGGAGAAGUCGACGGUACUCCUGGGGUAGGGGUGAAAUCCUAUAAUCCUAGGAAGACCUCCAUUCGCGAAGGCAGUCGACUAGAACGUGCCUGACGGUGAGGGACGAAAGCUGGGGGAGUGAACCGGAUUAGAUACCCGGGUAAUCCCAGCUGUAAACGAUGCAGGCUAGGCGUCGAGUUGGCUUAGUGCCGCCUCGGUACCGUAGGGAAACCGUUAAGCCUGCCGCCUGGGGAGUACGGUCGCAAGACUGAAACUUAAAGGAAUUGGCGGGGGAGCAC
rnacentral:rRNA from 1 species